UUCAGCUGUGUGACCAGAAGGGGUAGAGCCAGGCUGCACCUCUCUUAGACCUCAUUUAAGGGCUGAUUGCCACGGGGGAAGGGUCUGUGGUUGGAGAUCCCUCUUUUGUGGAGUUUUCCCUGUGAGCCUUGAUGUUCAGAGCUUGCUCAACAUGUGCUGCAGGAACCCAGCUGCCCGCUGCCCUGCUCAGCCCAUGCCUGCUGCUGGCGGAAGCGGCUGCUCUGGAGCUGGUGGAGACGUGCCAGCUCACCAGCUGGAGCCCUGACCUGCACUUGGCUUCAGCAAGGCAACAUCGAGGUCAGGCUCUGUGGUGCACAGGGAUGGGCACAGCUGUCCUGGUGGCACGAUGGCUCCACCAGCAGGGAUCAAGAACUUGCCCAUGUCAGCACAGCUGCGCUGAUUGCUGGUAGCAGGAGGGGUUGGCAUGGCAGAGCUGCCCACACAGCUGGGGGUCGAGGUCUGCUUUGGAUUGAAAAAUGCACUUUUGGUUCUCUUUGUUCCUUGUAUGAUCAGGAGAUAUCUGAGAAUUCCUACUAAGUCGGGAUGCUUGCUUCUACUGUGAUAAUAUUUAGUACCAGCUCUGGCAUAUUUCUUUUGGCUCCCCGAUUAGACAAAGUGCCAAGCUGUCCUUUGCGGCCUUAAUUAUCGCCGCUUCAGGCCAGAGCUGCCUGCUUACUGCAUAAUCCCAUGGCCUAGAGUGAACCCUGGAAAUGCUUAAUUAAAUGACAUUCCACAACAGAUUAAAGAGUCAGAAGCCCAAGAUAAAGGAAAAGGGAGAUGGUGGCUGUAGGAGUAGCAGGUGCUCUUCCCUUUCAGGCUCCUGGCUUUGAUUAUUUCACCUUGAGUAAGUUGGAAACAGCAGCACGAGUUGAUAGGUGCUGCACUUCUACACUUGGCUUCUCAUGUGUUCUGUGCAAAGUGGCUCUGAAGCCAAGGGUGUCACCAGCUUGGGCACUGACAAGCCCUUGCCUAUUUGUCUUUGAUAUUAAAAAGCAAACCAAAGGCUGUCUGUGUAACAAACUAGCGUGCACUUACUUGGAACAGGGAUGAUCAAACCGUGCUGUGGAUUCCCCUGGGAGCCAAAGCCUUCAUCUAACCACAGCAGAUCAGCAUACAAAUACAAAUGUUGUAGGUACUGUUACACUAUGCUGAUUAGGGCUCAAAUCUUCAGCAAAUCUCUUUGUAGCAAGAAAAUGACUGCAAGUGGGGAAUGUGCAGUACUGAGUGCAUCCUGAUGUACAGGAGCUGAUCUGUAAAAGCUGUUACCACUAAUGUUGUGUUUUCAUCAUAUUACUCUUCAAUUACUUGUUCCAGCAGUUCUCUUGUCUUGGCUGAAUGAGUGGCUGUGCAGAAGCUGACCUGGAGUGAUUUCUUCUUUGCAAAGAGAAGUGGAUCACAGGGGGAUGUCGUGAUGCUUCUAGGCGUUGAUUUGUGUGCUUUGUGUCCUCCUCCAAUCCUGUAAUGCGAUUUCAGCAAUUAAACUACAGGAGGGGAAUGACUUAAAUGUUCAUGCUCAUACCAGGUAGAUGUUGGGAAAUAAAACAUGGAGGGUGAGGAUGCUCCUGACCUAAUCCCUAGCGUUGCAUUUUGCCUGCACCACAAAGGGUACCACAUGGUUUGACGCAACUGGAAGAUUUGGGUGAGUGGAGGCAAGGCUUUUUUUUCAUUUCUUAGCAGAAGUAAGGCGGAUUAUUUCUAAACAUCAGCUAAGCUGUGCGAGGGAGUGUUGCACAUCAUUUCCUUCUCUCCACAACAGAGAGGACUGUUUUGCUGUAUUGGCCAUUCAGGUGGUGGUUCAGAGCUGUUAGUGCUGGGGCUGGGCAGCUGCCCAUGCUCUGCAGGCACUGUGCUCCAGCUGCUGCCCCACAGCUGUGCCCAGCAGGGCACACACCAGCCCCAAGCCUCAGCUUGGCUGGGCUUCAUCUGCAGGUUGAGAUGCUUCCGCCAAGAGCAGUCAUCUGCCUGAGUGCCCCACAGCUUUACUGAGUGCAGCGCACUUACCAACACUAACAUUUAUCGGCUUCUAUCACAGCUUUUCUUACAAAUGCAAAGCAGAGGACUUGAAAGGAAGCAAGUGGUAUCUUACAGCAAAAGCUUCUCUUUAGGUAUUUCAUGGAGGAAUAACCUGUGGCAGUACUUAAAAUCAUAGACUGGUUUGAGUUGGAAGGGACCUUUAAUGUCAUCUAGUCCCAAUCCCUGCUAUGUGGCAUUUUUACUUACCUACAGGAGUUUUGUGCUUGGAGCCAGCAAGUCUGCACUGAUUCCUAUUCAGAGCCUUAGAAGUGAUAAAAGGCAUCAGUGCAGAGUGUGUGUGUUUUCUAUUGUUCCUGCAAAUAGAUGGAAUACCCAUCUUGUUCCAGCACCGAGCCUGGUUCUGUGAUGCUAUGGCAUCCUCUGCUUCCCGUGCCACCUCUGAGCUGUCUGGCAGCACGCAGCCCCUCUCACGCUCAGGCUAGGCACAGAACACAAGCCAAACCCUGUGAGUCUUGCCCUGGUUAACCUGCAUGGAGUUUGUGAGUGUAUGAACUGGAACUGCCCUCAGUCAUAAGCAAAGCCCUGUCCUGUGCACGGCACCAUUGCAGACCCCGUCUGAAGGCCUCCUUUGCAGCUGGAGCAAUUUAAAAGCCUUUGGAUGGAGUCUUUGUCCUUGAAAGCACUUCUUUGAUGUUUCAGGCUUUCACGUGUUCUCCAGACUUUCAUUUAAUGUAGUAUUUUGUUUUGAUGGGUUUUUGUGAGAUUUCAGGUACGAUUUCAAUAAAGCCAGGGAUGUAUCGAAGCAUAAGGUAUUUGCUCAAGUCUUAAUCAAUCCAAACUGCUCUCUGAAGAAGGAAGCAGAGAGGCUGCUGAAGCAGGCCAGGCUCUUACAAGGCAGCAGAUGUUUCUCUUUAUUGUCAGAACAGCUAUCUUUAUUAAAUACCAAAGAAAGCCUUAUAAAUCCGGGAAGGCGGUGCAGUCCAUGUGGAGGACACCUCUUCCCCAGGCCAAGCAGCCUUUCUGGAAGUCCCUGGUUCUUCCUGCUGGAUCCCUCAAUGGCAUUGCCAUGGCAUGAAAGCUAAAGGGGAAAAUGGAAUGUUUAACAAUGAAAACCGUGUUUAACUAAUGUUUAACCUGACAGCAGGAGAAGCAAAGAAGGGAACAGAGCCAGGAGAGCGGAGCUCCUUUGGGGUCGGUUGAAUAGUGGCAGGAGUGAUGGGUGCAGUGCUUUCCAGUAGUGGCAUCUUCUGCUUUGAAGAAACAACAAGAAUUCAUGGGUUAGUAAAGGGAAGAUUGUGACUGACUAGCAGAAGGUGUGCCAGUCCGAGCAGCUGGUCUGUCUGAACCAGGUAACGUCCGUGGAUACGGCAUUAAUUUAAUUCUCAGUUGAAAUACUGCAGAGGAAAUGUCAGAUCGAUAAUGUAGAAAAGGGCAAGGAUUCACUAAGCCUGGCUGACUUGUGUGUGUUAACUACUGUGAGAUAGAUAUGGAUAAAUGCUGAACAUUAAGGUGAGUAAUCACAACUGUCGUGGGUGUCUGAAAAAAAUUUCUGCAUAAAGGCUGUACAAAACAAAGGUGUUUCAGGUGAGAAGCCAAGAGCGAAGGCAGCAGGCUGGUAUUUCCUGCACGGCUCUGCAGUUAGCAUCCCUGGGUCUGCUGCUUUUCUGGAAGAGUGCAAAAAGCCUUGGCACAGAUGCUGUUCCAGCCUAGCUGGUGUGAUGUGACCCAGAUCCUAACAGAGGAGAUGAGUCCCUGCCAAUGGGUAGGGCCACUGUUAUGUGGUGGGGUUCCAUGAGACUGGGUGGGAGGGUGCUCCAGAGCAAAUCCCAGCUCUCCUGACCCAGAGCCACCUCUGUUCCCAGCAGCUCUGUUCAGCACAGACCUGGCAAGCAGGCCCUCCUCCCAAUGGAGACAAGAACAGAAAACUUCCUUCACCUUUGGGCCUGAAUCUCAGCUAUUUGACAGUUGCAAAGUAGUAUUUCCAUGCAAUCUUUGCUGAACCAUAGAGGAUUUUUUCUAUUUAAAUAGCAUGAUAUCUUUCAGUAUUGAGUGCUCGAGCUCUCCCUGAGCUCCUGCAUGCUGGGAACACCGCGAUUUCGGGAUGCCAAAACAAACAACAGGUGCCUGUGUUGUUCUGCAAGUAGGAGCUUCUCAAAUGUCAGAUCUGGCAGAGGAGAUGCUUCCUUACAACACCAGGCUCCUUACCCCAAAGGCCCCUGGAGCCCUGGGUGGUGUAUUUACAGUAAAGAAGGUAGAGUUGGAAAAUAUUUUGAAAUCACCUUUGAGGAAAAAGCCCUAAACUUGCUUUCCCAGUGACUUGCUCAGCUGCUACAUUUAUGCUCUUAACAAAAAUAUGGAUCAGUAUCAGGCAUAAGAACAAUUGGACAAGGCACUCCAUGACUCAGAGCACAAAUCAGAGCCUUUCUCCUGGGGGCUUGGCUCUGGAGAAGUGUGCAUGUGUGUAGCUAUACCAAUGUCACUGUGCAAUCACAAGCCCCUGUUCUGAGGCGUGGUGAGACUUGAGAAAGCAUUUACAUCAGUGCAAUUUGUCCCCAUCCAGAGCUGCAGUGAUGUCCGAGUGCUUUGUAGUGGUGGAUGCGAGCUAGAUUGAAGCGAGACUGAAUGCUGCAGCCCUUCAAGUAGGACUUCUGUCCUUCUCCAAGGGACGAAGCUCCAGCUGGCUUAUGACCAAGGGACUGUGUCUGGCUCAGCUGCAGUGUGGUGCUGGGGUCCCGACUGGGCAGCGAUGGACAGAGACCAGCCCUGCUGGGACAGAGAGGGUCAGUUGGGGAUGGAAGCCCUGACUGUGGGCUGCUCCCUUGUUUCUUUCUACUGCUUGCAGAGGAAAGAAAAGAGCUGAUGGUGCUGGAACUGCUCUACGGUGGAACUGAAACAACAGCUUGUGGCGGUCUGAAUCAGUUCCCUGCUUUCAUAUAUUUGACUCAGAGCUGAGUAUUUCAGAGGCUCGGAAAGAGCAGGCUGAUUUCAAUUUUGGUUCUAAUAAUGGGCAAAGGUCACGGCAGCUGGAAAGAGAGGGGAAAUGAAAGGCAUGGGCUUGGCUGUUUUCUCUGAACCAGCUUCACCCAUUCCUGCUUACAGUCUCAGCAGAAUAAUAACUGAUACUAAGCAAAGCCAAGAAAUGAAAUUAACACAUGCAAAAUUACAUUACGGCCGUAUCAGGAGCCCUGGUGCCAUGCAGUGCUAGCAAGGUCUGGCACACAGGGCAAGGAGUGAGGAGCAGCUGGAGGCCGGGAGCACAGCAUCCACUGCUGUCCCCAGGCACGUACCCACGGGGCCACCUCUGCCCAGCCCUGCUCCAUGUCCCAGAGUGCUGUAAAUCCAAGUGUAAGAGCUUCAGCACCUGUGGCUCUGCUGUCGCAAAGCAGGUUUGCACAGAGCUGGGAGA